rnacentral:miRNA from 1 species
ACAGGGCUGCACCGAUUUCACC